rnacentral:rRNA from 1 species
GGUAGUCCACGCCGUAAACGAUGUCGACUUGGAGGUUGUGCCCUUGAGGCGUGGCUUCCGGAGCUAACGCGUUAAGUCGACCGCCUGGGGAGUACGGCCGCAAGGUUAAAACUCAAAUGAAUUGACGGGGGCCCGCACAAGCGGUGGAGCAUGUGGUUUAAUUCGAUGCAACGCGAAGAACCUUACCUACUCUUGACAUCCAGAGAACUUAGCAGAGAUGCUUUGGUGCCUUCGGGAACUCUGAGACAGGUGCUGCAUGGCUGUCGUCAGCUCGUGUUGUGAAAUGUUGGGUUAAGUCCCGCAACGAGCGCAACCCUUAUCCUUUGUUGCCAGCGGUUAGGCCGGGAACUCAAAGGAGGCUGCCAGUGAUAAACUGGAGGAAGGUGGGGAUGACGUCAAGUCAUCAUGGCCCUUACGAGUAGGGCUACACACGUGCUACAAUGGCGCAUACAAAGAGAAGCGACCUCGCGAGAGCAAGCGGACCUCAUAAAGUGCGUCGUAGUCCGGAUUGGAGUCUGCAACUCGACUCCAUGAAGUCGGAAUCGCUAGUAAUCGUAGAUCAGAAUGCUACGGUGAAUACGUUCCCGGGCCUUGUACACACCGCCCGUCACACCAUGGGAGUGGGUUGCAAAAGAAGUAGGUAGCUUAACCUUCGGGAGGGCGCUUACCACUUUGUGAUUCAUGACUGGGGUGAAGUCGUAACAAGGUAACCGUAGGGGAACCUGC